GUUGUCCUCUGCAUCGCAUGCCGCCGCCGUCCGCCCUCUCGCACGCCCACGCCCUCGCCCUCUCGCACGCCGCCGUCCCCUCACUCUGCCCUCGCACGCCGCCGCCGCCGCACUGCCCUCGCUGUCGCCUGCCGCGGCGGCCUCCCUCCGUCGUCCCCACCGCCCUCCGUCGCCUCCCGCACUCCCAGCUCCACCGUCGUCCCCACCCCUACCCACGGCGUGCCGCCCUCAUCCGUGUCGCUGCGUCCCUCUCUCGCCGUCUCCCUCCGCCGCCGACGCCGCGAAGCCCGCGCCACCUCCGACGUCUUCCGCCACGCCGAUAAUAGAAGGAGGGAAUGCCGGGUGCUGAGUACAAUGUAAUUGUUAGAAAGGUGUUUGAUGAUGAAGAAGAAGGAUAUGAAUUUUAUAACAACUACGCUAAGGGGAAGGAUUUAGUGUCAGAAAAGACUAUUGUGAGUGGGACAUUGGCCACAAUGAGAGGACUCUUCGGCAUUUUGUUUGCAGUGUCAAGGUUUCCGCGAAGAGAAGGAGCUGAAGAGGGAGAAUAAGAAGCGGAAGCUGCAGAAUAUUACUCGGUUUGGAUGCCCUGCUAAGCUUGUUAUUGCACGGGAUCAGAACACUGGUCAGUGGCAUGUGAAGGAUUUCAUCUGCGAACACAACCAUCUGAUGGUGGAACAAGAUCUUGCUUGUCUUCUGCGGUCACAUAGAAGAAACAGAGAUGAGCAGAAAGCUGAUAUUGUGGUGAUGCAGAUUUCUGGGAUCCGCAAACACCAGAUAAUGGAUAUCAAGGAAAUGCUUUAUGGUGGGUAUGAUAAGAUUGGAUUUACAAGAAGGGACCUGUAUAUUUCUAUCAUCGCAAUAAGGUGGACACAGUGGCUGCUGGCGAUGCUCAAACAGUCACCAGUUACCUGACAGAAUGCAGACGUAGGGAUCCUGAUUUCUUCUUUGACUACAAAGACUGAUUAGAAGGGACACCUCUCUCUUUCUGCACGCGCCACGCCAUGCCUUGCGAUCCCCAAACCCUAGGCGCCAGGCCGCCAUUGGAGCCGAUCUCCAACCAGCCCGCGCCAGCGCCGCACGCUUCAGCCGCCGCCGCCCGCAGUCCUCGCUAUCUAGAGCCAUUGCAGGACGCCCAGAGAACCAAGAUGAAGCCAGGAAAAGCAUCGGAUGCGAACAAUAUCGUCGGGGGCGUCAAAAAGUUGUCCUCCUUCCCUGGAAAGAAGCAGCGCCCUCUCCGAUUCAAAGAAGGUCGAUGUGGACAAUUGAGUUCGAGUUCCGACGAUUAAGUGGCGGAAGAACAGCUACCGCAGAACCGACUCCAUAUUGAACUGAUGAUCGAUGAGAUCAAAGAGCAGAUCGAUGCCAUGGAAAGGGACAUCGAGAACCUCAGAAAGAUGGUGGGGAGAGUGGCUAAGGCGAUCCAGAAGCUCUAAAACCUAGUUGAAGCCAACAUUGCCGAGAUUUAGAAGCAUUACAAGUCAUGCUUAGUUUGAUUUAAUUUCCUUGUGGCUGCAUUCUUGCAGUUUCUGAAUAAUGUGCCCAGACUUGUAUGGAUGCUCCUUUUAUCAUCAUAAUCCUUGUAUGGAUUGUGUCUUUUUUUUUACCAUGUGUAACAUAAUUCUGCAAUUAUCAUCACUUCUUCCAUUGAAACACUUUCAGGGAGAAACAACAUGUAUAUGCAGGAUGCCCCACUUGUUUAGUUCAACAUAGUUUCAAUCAAAUUUUCCACAACUGUUGAUGA